rnacentral:rRNA from 1 species
AUUGAACGCUGGCGGCAGGCUUAACACAUGCAAGUCGAGCGGGCGAGGUUGCUUCGGUAACUGAGCUAGCGGCGGACGGGUGAGUAAUGCUUAGGAAUCUGCCUAUUAGUGGGGGACAACAUUCCGAAAGGAAUGCUAAUACCGCAUACGUCCUACGGGAGAAAGCAGGGGAUCAUUUGACCUUGCGCUAAUAGAUGAGCCUAAGUCGGAAUAGCUAGUUGGUGGGGUAAAGGCCUACCCAGGCGACGAUCUGUAGCGGGUCUGAGAGGAUGAUCCGCCACACUGGGACUGAGACACGGCCCAGACUCCUACGGGAGGCAGCAGUGGGGAAUAUUGGACAAUGGGGGGAACCCUGAUCCAGCCAUGCCGCGUGUGUGAAGAAGGCCUUUUGGUUGUAAAGCACUUUAAGCGAGGAGGAGGCUCUCUUGGUUAAUACCUGAGAAGAGUGGACGUUACUCGCAGAAUAAGCACCGGCUAACUCUGUGCCAGCCGCCGCGGUAACAC